rnacentral:lncRNA from 1 species
AAAAGGGUGCGGCCCUUAUUGGGGCAGUGUAUAUAUAGCCAUGGUCAGUGUAAUCAUGUGUGCUUAUGUAAAUAAUUACUUUGAAAACUUGCACAGUCUGUUGUGGGACAAAUGGUGGGGGAGAGAAUGAACGGCGAACUGAACUGAACGGCACCGAACUCGGCAAACGUAACCUAGAGCGGCUCGGAAGCUCAAACAAACGCUACCGACACAGUUAACUUCGGCACGCCACGCUACCAAUAGUAAUCCCAACCGUAGCAAUGAUAGAAAUAAGGAACGUAACAACCUAUAGAGAGAAAAAAUAGUUUCACAGUGGUGGCAGCGGUGGGAUUUAAAACUGACUUGUUUUAUUUUAAGCACGCCUAAGGCGAGCUAAUUAAUUUAUUGUCGGUUCCGCUCCAAACAGGGCGGCGAACCCAACGUUUUUUUUUUUGCAAUAUAUUUCUUAGAUUGUGAUUUUGUUUUCCCUUUAAAUGUAAGUCAUGUAUGUAGGUAUCGGGCCGUUCAUGUUCGCAGUGGUUCAUCUCCCCCAACCUGUCCCGGCCAGUGGGCCAGGCGGGCGGCUCGGCCCUCGCGGUCAGUCACCGUGGGGUGCCAGCGCCGGCUCGCGGCGGUCCCGCGGCAAUUAGGCCCUGCCCUCCGCUCUGUCUGAUUGGUGUAGGGACGGAGGAUGGGCGUGGCCAAAUUGAGUGUGGGGCUGAGGGGUGCCUCUGAGGACAGUGUAUGCCCAGGUGCUUUCCGCGUCGUCACUGAGGUUUCUCGGGCCCAUUCGUGCAUUGUGCUGAAAGCAACGAGUUUUGAGAUGUCUACCCGGAGUUCGGAAUCAUUCUCUCAUCUAUAAUAAUCGGAGGGAUGUGAGAAACUCUGUUCCUCCGACACGGCCAGACCGUGGCUGCACCGCCGGACCCGGCGGACCGCGCGGCGACCGCACCGCACCCCACCGGCUGAUGGGCCCGGCGCGCCCUCUAAUCUGCCGACGGCCGGGGGCGGAAUGCGGCGGCGGCCGCGCACAAACAACAGCGGGGGAGGUUGCGGCGUGGUGGGAACCGAGAGCCGGCGCAGGAGCGUGACCAGCAGCAGGUCGACAGACCCGAGCUCCUCCGACGGCGCAGCGGACCACACCGGACCUCCUGACGCCGCCCCUGCGACAUCCAUCUCCGCCAUCUACCUGGCCGACCGACUCCCACUGUUCGGCGCCGCCUGCCGCCGGAGGGCAACAAACAACCCCACCACGAUAGGGGCAGGCCGGCGGCCGGCGAGGUCAUUGCCACGGCGAGUCGGUGACCUCUUCUACUACGGUGUCCUGAGUUCUGUGGCUGUUCUGUUCUGCUCUGUUCUGUUCUGCUUCUGUCCUGUUCUGCCCUGCCAUGUUCUGUGCGCUCUGUCCUGCGGGACUAGCCGUGCGUGCCGCGCCCGAGGCAACUGCCAACCGCCGGAGGCGCGGUAUAUAAGCUGAGUCCCGCAGUGAUCCCCCUCCCUCUUCGCUCUCCACUGGAGUCUUGGACUGCCCGUGCGCGACUUGUGCGUCCAUACCUCCUACCCAAUAUCAUGUAAGUAAAAGGGUGCGGCCCUUAUUGGGGCAGUGUAUAUAUAGCCAUGGUCAGUGUAAUCAUGUGUGCUUAUGUAAAUAAUUACUUUGAAAACUUG